AGACUAGGAUAGGCCUCUAGUCAGGUGGCCAAUGAGGAGAUGGACGCAGAAGCCCCAGACAGGCUGAUCAGGUUCAUGAUCACUGUCCCGAGCUUCUUUGGUCCUAUUUGGAAGUGAGGACCACUGAGGGCCAAGACUUCACCCAACACAAAUGGAGCUGAGGAGAAUCUUUGCUGGGAGGAUGUGAAGGAGAGCAAGGGUCAGAAGCCGUCAGCCCCAAGCUAAGGACAAGCAGGCACUGAGGCUCUGAGGACCAUUUCAAGUGAGAGGAGCCUCACUGGAGGAGCUGUCACUUGGGAGGACAGGGGUCAGGGCGCCUCCAUUCUCGCUCCGUUGACUUGGCUCACUUCGUGCAACUUCUCCUUGGCCUCUGUUUGUUUUCAAUAAAAGAAGAUGGUUUUAUUAAUAAGACCUCAGAGGUCCUUCACAGCUUAGAAUUGUAACAUCUCAACUCUACCAAUGCCUGAGCUGUUAGGACUUGAAGUGUUGGGAUGGGAUCUAAAUACUAAAAGGAACUCCAGAAUAGCUAGGUCUGAGAAAGGGUGUGGUGGUUAAUGUCAACUUGAUAGAAUCUAGAAUCACCUGGGAGACAGGCCUCUGAAAAUGCCUAUAGGGGAUUCUCUCUCUCUCUCUCUCUCUCUCUGAUUUAUUUUAUGUGCUUUUAGUAUUCUGCCUGCAUGUGUGUGUGUGUGUACCUUGUGUGAGCCCAUGAAAGAGGGUGUUGAAUGCCCUGAGUUGGGAGUGGUUGAUAGCUGUCAUGUGGGUACUGGGAAUUGAACUUGGGUCCUCUGCAAGAACAAGUGCUCUUAAUGGCUGAGCUAUCUUUCCAUCCCUCUAGGGAUUGUGAUUAUCUUGACGGCAUUAAUUGAGGCAGGAAAAUCUUUCCACUUGGGUGGCACCAUUCCCUGCCUGGAAUUCUGGACUGUAUUCGUGAUAAGGAGGCUGAGCAGCAGCGGCAGCCAUUUCUCUGCUUCCAGAUGGAUGUGAUGUGAACAUCUGCUUCAAGCAUCUUUUACCUUGACUCCCCACCGUGGGGGACUGCACCCUUGAACAGCAAGCCAAAGCCCGUGGAAAAGCUGCAUUAUAAUCGAUAGCCUCAUAAAUAAGUGAAGAGGCGACAUAAAACACCGUGCUUCCAGUACAGGGCUUCCUCGGGAGAAUGGACCUCGACCCACUUCUGCUCAACAUCCUGACUUUCUUCGGCAGUUUCCGAAGGGAGAGAACUCUUAAGAGUCAUCUCAGGCAUGCCUCCGCUUCUGUGCUGGCCUCUAUGCGCCCUCAUCCAAGAGGUCAAGAGCUGAGACAUGCGCUUUUUCCUACCACGCCACCCAGCCUGGUAAGGCCAAAGAGACCCCUGAAUACUGCAACAAGAACAAACCUCCAUCAAACCCCCCAGACCAAAAUGGUGACCAUUCCCGUGUGGAGACAGACAACAACCUUCUGAGUGCGCCUGGAAACUCCUCGGAGCUCUCCUCUGCUUUGCUGCCUCAGUUUCCCUCCACUCUGGCCAUGGCGCUGAGGGUAACCGGAGGAAGCUGAGAAGUCUGCUCUGCUUCGAGGACGAGAGGAAUAGAGGAUCAGAGCACCAGGCAAGGCCAGCAGCUUGCCGAAGGGAGGAGUCCUCUAACCUCUAAGACAAAUAUGGAGUGGAGACCAAAGAUGGGUGGGGUCCUGUUAGGGGCUAUUCAAGUGUGUCGUGGUGGUAGCUAGCACUUAUUAAAUGUCCUGCACUAACCACUAUGCCCAAAGCUAGGUUAUACUAGGAAGUCAGUGUGUACAGAGGCUGGGAACAUCAGCCUACCAACACACAACUGGGCUCAAGUCUUUGACUUUGCUCCUCACUAGCUCUGUGACCUUGAAUAAGUUACUUAAGGACCCUGUGUCUCACUUGCUUCAUUAAAAAAAAUGGGAAUGCUAAUAGCAGCACCCAUAGAAACCAAAGAUCAAGAGCAUUGCCAUCCAUAAAGCUCUUAGGACAUUGCCCGUAGUAAGCUUUGGCUAUUCUGAUUCUGUUGAAUCUUCACACAAAGCUCUGAAGUAGAUCUCAUUAACUGUCGAGGCUCCGGGAAGCUGAAUGACUCUCCUGAGAUCCCCAGGU